UACGGGGGGAGCAAGCGUUGUUCGGAUUUACUGGGCGUAAAGGGCGCGUAGGCGGCCAGCACAAGUCAGUUGUGAAAUCUCCGGGCUUAACUCGGAAAGGUCAACUGAUACUGUGCGGCUAGAGUGCAGAAGGGGCAACUGGAAUUCUCGGUGUAGCGGUGAAAUGCGUAGAUAUCGAGAGGAACACCUGCGGCGAAGGCGGGUUGCUGGCUGACACUGACGCUGAUGCGCGAAAGCCAGGGAGCGAACGGG
rnacentral:rRNA from 1 species